UACAGAGGGGGCGAGCGUUGUUCGGAAUUACUGGGCGUAAAGGGCGCGUAGGCGGCCUGCUAAGUCGAACGUGAAAUCCCCGAGCUCAACUCGGGAACUGCGUCCGAUACUGACAGGCUUGAAUCCGGGAGAGGGAUGCGGAAUUCCAGGUGUAGCGGUGAAAUGCGUAGAUAUCUGGAGGAACACCGGUGGCGAAGGCGGCAUCCUGGACCGGCAUUGACGCUGAGGCGCGAAAGCUAGGGGAGCAAACGGG
rnacentral:rRNA from 1 species